rnacentral:rRNA from 1 species
UACGAAUGGGGCAAGCGUUGUUCGGAAUCACUGGGCUUAAAGCGUAUGCAGGCGGCCAAGCAAGUCAGGAGUGAAAUCCCCGGGCUCAACCCGGGAAUUGCUUCUGAAACUGCUUGGCUAGAAUCCCGGAGAGGUUAACGGAAUUCCGAGUGUAGAGGUGAAAUUCGCAGAUAUUCGGAGGAACACCAGUGGCGCAAGCGGUUAACUGGACGGGCAUUGACGCUCAGAUACGAAAGCGUGGGUAGCAAACAGG